AAACUUUCAACAACGGAUCUCUUGGUUCUGGCAUCGAUGAAGAACGCAGCGAAAUGCGAUAAGUAAUGUGAAUUGCAGAAUUCAGUGAAUCAUCGAAUCUUUGAACGCACAUUGCGCCCUCUGGUAUUCCGGGGGGCAUGCCUGUCCGAGCGUCAUUG
rnacentral:rRNA from 2 species